rnacentral:rRNA from 1 species
AGUGAACGCUGGCGGUAGGCCUAACACAUGCAAGUCGAACGGCAGCACAGUAAGAGCUUGCUCUUACGGGUGGCGAGUGGCGGACGGGUGAGGAAUACAUCGGAAUCUACUUUUUCGUGGGUGAUAACGCAGGGAAACUUACGCUAAUACCGCAUACGACCUACGUGUGAAAGCAGGGGAUCUUCGGACCUUGCGCGAUUGCAUGAGCCGAUGUCGGAUUAGCUAGUUGGCGGGGUAAAGGCCCACCAAGGCGACGAUCCGUAGCUGGUCUGAGGGGAUGAUCAGCCACACUGGAACUGAGAAACGGUCCAGACUCCUACGGGAGGCAGCAGUGGGGAAUAUUGGACAAUGGGCGCAAGCCUGAUCCAGCCAUACCGCGUGGGUGAAGAAGGCCUUCGGGUUGUAAAGCCCUUUUGUUGGGAAAGAAAAGCAGCAGGUUAAUACCCCGCUGUUCUGACGGUACCCAAAGAAUAAGCACCGGCUAACUUCGUG